rnacentral:rRNA from 1 species
UACGAGGGGGGCGAGCGUUGUUCGGAAUUAUUGGGCGUAAAGGGUGCGUAGGCGGCCUGACAAGUCUGAUGUGAAAUCCCUGGGCUCAACCCAGGGCCUGCAUCGGAAACUGUCAGGCUUGAGUAUGGGAGAGGUGAGUGGAAUUUCCGGUGUAGCGGUGAAAUGCGUAGAUAUCGGAAGGAACACCUGUGGCGAAAGCGGCUCACUGGACCAUUACUGACGCUGAGGCACGAAAGCCAGGGGAGCAAACAGG